rnacentral:rRNA from 2 species
CGUAGGGAAACCGAGUCUGAAUAGGGCGACUUUAGUAUAUUGGCAUAUACCCGAAACCAGGUGAUCUAUCCAUGAGCAGGUUGAAGCUUAGGUAAAACUAAGUGGAGGACCGAACCGUAGUACGCUAAAAAGUGCCCGGAUGACUUGUGGAUAGCGGUGAAAUUCCAAUCGAACCUGGAGAAUAGCUGGUUCUCUUCGAAAUAGCUUUAGGGCUAGCGUAUAGUAUUGUUUAAUGGGGGUAGAGCACUGAAUGUGGAAUGGCGGCAUCUAGCUGUACUGACUAUAAUCAAACUCCGAAUACCAUUAAAAUUAAGCUAUGCAGUCGGAACGUGGGUGAUAACGUCCACGCUCGCGAGGGAAACAACCCAGAUCGUCAAGUAAGGUCCCAAAAUUGUGUUAAGUGAGAAAGGUUGUGAGAUUUCAUAAACAACUAGGAAGUUGGCUUAGAAGCAGCCACCUUUUAAAGAGUGCGUAAUUGCUCACUAGUCAAGAGAUCUUGCGCCAAUAAUGUAACCGGGACUCAAACA